rnacentral:rRNA from 1 species
CACGUGAAAUUCCGUCGGAAUCUGGGAGGACCAUCUCCUAAGGCUAAAUACUCUCUAGUGACCGAUAGUGAACCAGUACCGUGAGGGAAAGGUGAAAAGCACCCCGGAAGGGGAGUGAAAUAGAACCUGAAACCGUGUGCUUACAAGUAGUCAGAGCCCGUUAAUGGGUGAUGGCGUGCCUUUUGUAGAAUGAACCGGCGAGUUACGAUUUGAUGCAAGGUUAAGCAGUAAAUGUGGAGCCGUAGCGAAAGCGAGUCUGAAUAGGGCGUUUAGUAUUUGGUCGUAGACCCGAAACCAGGUGAUCUACCCUUGGUCAGGUUGAAGUUCAGGUAACACUGAAUGGAGGACCGAACCGACUUACGUUGAAAAGUGAGCGGAUGAACUGAGGGUAGCGGAGAAAUUCCAAUCGAACCUGGAGAUAGCUGGUUCUCUCCGAAAUAGCUUUAGGGCUAGCCUCAAGUGAUGAUUAUUGGAGGUAGAGCACUGUUUGGACGAGGGGCCCCUCUCGGGUUACCGAAUUCAGACAAACUCCGAAUGCCAAUUAAUUUAACUUGGGAGUCAGAACAUGGGUGAUAAGGUCCGUGUUCGAAAGGGAAACAGCCCAGACCACCAGCUAAGGUCCCAAAAUAUAUGUUAAGUGGAAAAGGAUGUGGCGUUGCCCAGACAACUAGGAUGUUGGCUUAGAAGCAGCCAUCAUUUAAAGAGUGCGUAAUAGCUCACUAGUCGAGUGACACUGCGCCGAAAAUGUACCGGGGCUAAACAUAUUACCGAAGCUGUGGAUUGUCCUUUGGACAAUGGUAGGAGAGCGUUCUAAGGGCGUUGAAGCAUGAUCGUAAGGACAUGUGGAGCGCUUAGAAGUGAGAAUGCCGGUGUGAGUAGCGAAAGACGGGUGAGAAUCCCGUCCACCGAUUGACUAAGGUUUCCAGAGGAAGGCUCGUCCGCUCUGGGUUAGUCGGGUCCUAAGCUGAGGCCGACAGG